CAGCCGCCCGGUAAUACGUAGGGGGCGAGCGUUGUCCGGAAUUAUUGGGCGUAAAGCGCGCGCAGGCGGUCCCUUAAGUCUGAUGUGAAAGCCCACGGCUCAACCGUGGAGGGUCAUUGGAAACUGGGGGACUUGAGUGCAGAAGAGGAGAGCGGAAUUCCACGUGUAGCGGUGAAAUGCGUAGAGAUGUGGAGGAACACCAGUGGCGAAGGCGGCUCUCUGGUCUGUAACUGACGCUGAGGCGCGAAAGCGUGGGGAGCAAACAGGAUUAGAUACCCUGGUAGUCCACGCCGUAAACGAUGAGUGCUAAGUGUUAGAGGGGUUAAACCCUUUAGUGCUGUAGCUAACGCGUUAAGCACUCCGCCUGGGGAGUACGGCCGCAAGGCUGAAACUUAAAGGAAUUGGCGGG
rnacentral:rRNA from 1 species